rnacentral:rRNA from 1 species
CUCGUAGGCGGUUCGUCGCGUCCGGUGUGAAAGUCCAUCGCUUAACGGUGGAUCCGCGCCGGGUACGGGCGGGCUGGAGUGCGGUAGGGGAGACUGGAAUUCCCGGUGUAACGGUGGAAUGUGUAGAUAUCGGGAAGAACACCAAUGGCGAAGGCAGGUCUCUGGGCCGUUACUGACGCUGAGGAGCGAAAGCGUGGGUAGCGAACG